GCCGAGCUCAGUAACGUGGGCUUGUAACCCAAGUGGGGGCAUUAAUGUGGUGGAAUAUUGAGCCUGUUCAGAUGGCAGGGUUUGGGUGGCUAAAUUCUGGCCUGCCCUAUCCAAGCUCAGAGUUGGGUCAUGUGGCCCAAACGAAGGUAUGGGCCCGCUUGGCUUCUAAAGUGGAGUGGACCGCGUGAGGCUGGUUUCACAGAGCAACGAAUAGCUCCCGCUCUGUCCAGUGGAAGGAUAAUGGGCUGCUGUCAUCUUUAAGCCCAAUAAACGCCUGAUGGCCUGCUCUAAUUAAACCACCACUUUU
rnacentral:SRP_RNA from 1 species